rnacentral:lncRNA from 1 species
AGGAAAUGGACCUUGGCAAACGUGUGUCAGGAGAGGAUGACUUGGAGGUGUCCACCGUGUUUCUUACUGAAGAUGUCUAAAAGUCAAUUGGGGUCAAGGAACAAGCCUCUACUCACAUGCAUGUGGGCAAAUGAAGUCACAGAACAAAUAACCUACCCUGCAUCCAGGCACGGAGUCCAGGGACACCCCCUGCUGCUGCCUAAGAGAAAGUGGCCCAAGAAGCACUGGCCCGGUGCCUGCUGAUGCCAGGAGCCCUCUGCUACUGCCUGACACAAGCAUCCUGCGCUUCCCCCUCCCAGGCCCUCCCCGAAAGCGUGGGCCACAGGUACCACUCCCUAUGCCACUGAGCCCCACAUUUCCCAUCCCCCAAGCCACUCCCACCAGCCCCAGAGCUUUCCUACAUUUAUGAUUUGUCCAAAAAUGUGAUGCCCUUCAGCCCCCAGAAGGUCAUCCUCCAGGCUGUGAUCGUCACACAGGGGGUCCCACAUGGGGUCCUCACAGGCCUUCAACCCAGCACAAAUCGUGGCCUGGUUUGACCUUUGAAAUAUCUCAACAUCUAAAAUUCAGAGCUUUUUUGGAAUAUUUAUUUUCCAUAGAUAUAAUUCUUUCAAAUAAAUUCCUUAGAAAACAA